rnacentral:rRNA from 1 species
AUUGAACGCUGGCGGCAGGCCUAACACAUGCAAGUCGAGCGAGCGGCGGACGGGUGAGUAAUGUAUGGGGACUGCCCGAUAGCGGGGGAUAACUACUGGAAACGGUAGCUAAUACCGCAUACUAUCGGAUAACCCAUAUGGGAUUAGCUAGUAGGUGAGGUAAAGGCUCACCUAGGCGACGAUCCCUAGCUGGUCUGAGAGGAUGAUCAGCCACACGGGGACUGGGACACGGACCAGACUCCUACGGAGGCAGCAGUGGGGAAUAGUGGACAAUGGGGGCAAGCCUGAUCCAGCCAUCCCGCGUGUAUGAUAAAGGCCUUCGGGUUGUAAAGUACUUUCGGGAGGGAGGCGUUAUCGGCAGAAGAAGCACCGGCUAACUACGUGCCAGCAGCCGCGGUAAUAC